UCCAGCAGCCAUAUCACCCUACAACUCACACCUGACAACCCAAUGAAGCUAAGCAGGUAUGAGCCUGAUCAGUACUUGGAUGGGAGACCUCCUGGGAAAAACUAAGUGUGCUGCUGGAA
rnacentral:rRNA from 1 species